ANUCAAUAUUAAUUNACGGANNAUACUCUGACCCAGCGACGCCGCGUGCGGGAUGAAGGCCUUCGGGUUGUAAACCGCUUUCAGCAGGGAAGAAGCGAAAGUGACGGUACCUGCAGAAGAAGCACCGGCUAACUAUGUGCCAGCAGCCGCGGUAAUACAUAGGGUGCAAGCGUUGUCCGGAAUUAUUGGGCGUAAAGAGCUCGUAGGUGGUUCGUCACGUCGGAUGUGAAACUCUGGGGCUUAACCCCAGACCUGCAUUCGAUACGGGCGAGCUUGAGUAUGGUAGGGGAGUCUGGAAUUCCUGGUGUAGCGGUGGAAUGCGCAGAUAUCAGGAGGAACACCAAUGGCGAAGGCAGGACUCUGGGCCAUUACUGACACUGAGGAGCGAAAGCGUGGGGAGCGAACAGGAUUAGAUACCCUGGUAGUCCACGCCGUAAACGGUGGGCACUANUUGUGGGGACCUUUCACGGGUUUUGGAACCAAUUANCCCNUUAAUGGCCCCCCUUGGGGAGNANA
rnacentral:rRNA from 1 species